CCCCCACCGCGGGCAAUAGUCGGACCGAGCCGGAGCCCCGCCCCGUAGGUGGGGCCGGGAGCUUCACCCGUGGCGCCUCGAUGGGGCGCCUCUAGCAGGCGGGUGCAGCCUGUCCCGCGUACCCAGGCGUCCUCGGUACCCACGAAACGGAUCCAAAGAGUCUCAACACUAAUGUAACAUCCCACCCUGACCCAUCUUUGCCCUCUGAGAAAAGCGGCCCGAAAUGAGACUCAGGUGGGCGGAGCAGAGCUCAGCUUGGGAGGAGGCGGACGCGAGUAGCUCGGCAGGGGGACUCGCUUGGCUUUCGUGCCAUCCGUGGACACAGUCGCGCGGGUAGGUGACCGGGUUGGAUUUCAAAGUCCAGCAGGAAAUCCUGCCCUCUGGGUUGCACUUCCUGGAUGAGCCUCUGACGUCUCAAGCAGCAUUGUUUUAAUGCUUUGAUGAAGCUCAGCACGCUGCCGAAAUCUCGGCAGUAUUUUUUCUUUUCUUUUUGCAUGUGAGAGAAAGGACAACAAAUUGCAGUUUUAUCCAUUUGUAUUAUUUCUUUAGAAAACUCAACACUCUUUUUGUUGGAGGUGGGGAAAUGAGAAGGUGAUGUUUUGUUUUGCUUUUUUUCCUAUUUUUUUUUUUUAAAGGAGGAGAAGAUGACAGUGUUCUCCCUAAGGAUGAAGUUUGACUUUUGAAACAUAUCACAUGCUUAAAGCACAUUUGAGCUCCUGCAUGAACAGUAAGCUAGCAGAUGGUAGAAAUAUUCUUUAUUAAUUCAAAAAAUAUUUACUGCGGACCUACAAUGUGCCAAGCAUGUCUCCUGACACUGGGGAUAAGCAGUGAACAACAACAAAAAGACAAACUUCUUCCACCCUGAGGCGUAUGUUCUCGGUCUUUGUGGGAAGAAACAAAUCACAAAAGCAAUUAAGAGAGCUCAAACAAUGGGGUUUAUGCCAGUUACAUACAAGGAUCCUGCAUAUUUCAGGGACCCUAAAGUUUAUAACAUCAGAUAUCCGGAAUAAAUUCCAUCACAUUACCACCAGUAAACUUAUUUUAUAAGAUGGGUCUCACUGUGUUGCCCAGGCUGGUCUCUAACUCCUGGCCUCAAUCAUUCCUGCCUUGUCUUCCCUAAGUGCUGGGAUUACAGCUGUGAGCCACUGUGCCUGGCCUCACUUUUCCAAUUCUAAAGAAUGUGUGUAAGCCUUUCCCUCAACAACUUAUUGAAAGGCGAAAAAAGGUUUGGAAAUAAAAGGAUCUGAUGUUUGAAAAAGUACUUUGUAAAAUAAAUGCACUAAGACUUAUCUGUGGAUUACUGCAAAGAGGUGAAUAUAGUAAAAACAAAUGAACUUACCUGUAUUACUGCAAGUAGC
rnacentral:lncRNA from 10 species